CGGUUGUCCUGCAUAUUAUUUGCCAUUCUACUUUCUGGUCAGAUUACUAUGGGGGCGACCAAGAACCACUGAAGCAGCUGCGUAGUGUUCCGGCUCCUCCAUUUGUGAGGUCAGGUUUUCGGAUGGAGUUUUUGAUGAGGCAUAAAAUAUCGUUGGUAAUCGCCCAAGGGGGAGUGUUGUAAAACAAAUCAACUUUGGAAACAAGAAUCCUAGAAGGAAAGGAAAAGACUGGAAGUCCUAUUCCUAGUCCGGUUUGUUUGUGGGCUCUUACCGAAACUCUAGACUUUGAGAAUAUAUAUAUGAGAGAUAUGUUCAUUGUAAAAGAGGGAAUUUGAGGAAUAAAGAUUUGUCUCUCGUAUUUGUGUUCUUGUGUCUCCGUGUGUCCGUGUGAUUGUUGAGAGAGAGAGAGUCGAUCCGACGUUGACGACGUGUUUCACAACACGUUAUCAGCACGCUGCUCUACAUCGACAUCGACGGAGUUGACGCAUCAAGAAGCUGUACAUCGACACCGACGUCCAGUUCAUCUACGUCGACUUCGACGGCGCCGAGAACCUCGACGUCGUCUACGUUUGAUCGGCAUCAACUCAGACAUCGCGCCGGCAUCACGCUGGCAGGUCCCCUCGGCUCAGCCGAACUGUCCUACACGACAGCUUCGUUUUUCCUCUACGUGAGAAACCGAGGUACAUACAUGAUUGAUAGUAGAUUAGAUUGGUUCUAAUCUG